rnacentral:rRNA from 1 species
UCAGGUAGGACUACCCGCUGAACUUAAGCAUAUCAAUAAGCGGAGGAAAAGAAACUAACAAGGAUUCCCCUAGUAACUGCGAGUGAAGAGGGAAAAGCUCAAAUUUAAAAUCUGGCGGCAUUUAGCCGUCCGAGUUGUAAUCUAGAGAAGUGUUACCCGCGCCGGACCGUGUAUAAGUCUCCUGGAAUGGAGCGUCAUAGAGGGUGAGAAUCCCGUCUUCGACACGGAUCCCCGGGGCUUUGUGGUGCGCUCUCAACGAGUCGAGUUGUUUGGGAAUGCAGCUCAAAAUGGGUGGUAAAUUCCAUCUAAAGCUAAAUAUUGGCGAGAGACCGAUAGCGAACAAGUACCGUGAGGGAAAGAUGAAAAGAACUUUGGAAAGAGAGUUAAACAGUACGUGAAAUUGCUGAAAGGGAAACGCUUGAAGUCAGUCGCGUCGUCUGGAAAUCAACCUUGCUCUUUUGCUGGGCGUACUUUCCAGUUGACGGGCCAGCAUCAGUUUUGACCGGUGGAAAAAGUCCAAGGGAAUGUGGCACCUUCGGGUGUGUUAUAGCCUUUGGUCGUAUACAUCGAUUGGGACUGAGGAACUCAGCACGCCGAAAGGCCGGGUCUUCGGACCACGUUCGUGCUUAGGAUGCUGGCAUAAUGGCUUUAAUCGACCCGUCUG